UACAGAGGUCUCAAGCGUUGUUCGGAUUCAUUGGGCGUAAAGGGUGCGUAGGUGGCGCCGUAAGUCAGGUGUGAAAUUUCGGAGCUUAACUCCGAAACUGCAUUUGAUACUGCGGUGCUUGAGGACUGGAGAGGAGACUGGAAUUCACGGUGUAGCAGUGAAAUGCGUAGAUAUCGUGAGGAAGACCAGUGGCGAAGGCGGGUCUCUGGACAGUUCCUGACACUGAGGCACGAAGGCCAGGGGGAGCAAACGGG
rnacentral:rRNA from 1 species